AUCUGUUGGAAAUCCAAAAUGGGCAAAGUCAAAGGGGUUAAAGUCUAGACCAGGUUUGGGCGCCACCAUGAAGGCAUCAUCUGCAUUCAUCUUUGUUUCUGCUGCACAGAGGCUUUUGAAAUUGUGCUCCUUGUUGAUGACCACACAGUACUCUAUGGGUUGUUUCAAUAUAGAGGCUGUAGGGCUUGGCUUCCAGGCCAAAGUGACUGUGGUACGUCCAAAGGAGGUCACAUCAACUCUGGGGUCAUAUGGUAAUUCAGGGUAUGGCUGGUCAGAUUCUGGUGUGGUGGUGGCAUAUACUUUGAAAUGUGUGUCUUUCUCUGUUGAAAGAAGCUCCAACUGAUACAAACCAGAUGGGGAACUUGAAGACAGAAAAUACUCUACAUCAUUGCCCUUGUAGGAGAAU
rnacentral:lncRNA from 1 species